rnacentral:sRNA from 1 species
CAGGGGCCCAGACUUACACCCUGACCGUCCCACCUUCUGUCCUCGUCCUGGACCUCAGGUUCCCAGCGUCCCGAGCCCAGCACUGCCUCUUCAGUGCUCUGACUUCUCACCCAGAGGUUUCACCUCUCACAGGCCCAGAGCCCUGUCUCACUCACCCCACCUGUCUUACACUCCAGCUCCCAGCCUGACAAGCUUUCCACUCACAGGGGAGAGGCUACUGCAGAACCUGACGGUUCAGGCCGAGUCGCCCUUCGGGGUUGGGGCCCUCACGCACCUGCUGCUCUCUGGGAGCCCUGAGGACCGAGUGGCCUGCGCGCUGACUCUGCCCUUCAUCUGUCGGAAGCCCUCUCUGUGGCGCCGGCUGCUUCUGGAGCAGGGUGGCCUCCGGCUCCUCCUUGCGGCGCUGACCCGG